ACUCAAAGGAAUAGACGGGGGCCCGCACAAGCAGCGGAGCAUGUGGUUCAAUUCGACGCAACGCGAAGAACCUUACCUGGGCUUGACAUGUUGGUGACAGCCGUGGAAACACGGUCUCCCUUCGGGGCACCUUCACAGGUGGUGCAUGGCUGUCGUCAGCUCGUGCCGUGAGGUGUUGGGUUAAGUCCCGCAACGAGCGCAACCCCCGUCCCAUGUUGCCAGCGGAUAAUGCCGGGGACUCAUGGGAGACUGCCGGUGACAAACCGGAGGAAGGUGGGGAUGACGUCAAGUCAUCAUGCCCCUUAUGCCCAGGGCUACACACGUGCUACAGUGGCCGGUACAGAGGGCUGCGAUGCCGCGAGGCGGAGCGAAUCCCAAAAAGCCGGUCUCGGUUCGGAUUGGAGGCUGAAACUCGCCUCCAUGAAGCCGGAGUUGCUAGUAAUCGCGGAUCAGCAACGCCGCGGUGAAUACGUUCCCGGGCCUUGCACACACCGCCCGU
rnacentral:rRNA from 1 species